UGCCAGCAGCCGCGGUAAGACAGAGGGUGCAAACGUUGCUCGGAAUUACUGGGCGUAAAGCGCACGUAGGCGGAUUCGCAAGUCAGAUGUGAAAUCCCCGGGCUCAACCUGGGAACUGCAUUUGAAACUGCGUGUCUAGAGUGGUGGAGAGGGAAGCGGAAUUCCAGGUGUAGAGGUGAAAUUCGUAGAUAUCUGGAGGAACACCAGUGGCGAAGGCGGCUUCCUGGACAUUAACUGACGCUGAGGUGCGAAAGCGUGGGGAGCGAACAGGAUUAGAUA
rnacentral:rRNA from 1 species